UAAACAUGCUAUUGUGUAAUGGAAAUGAUCAAAUAAAGUUAUUUCUGCAACAGCCCUUGCAUUCAAACACCUUAUUUGUAUUUUUCUUGUUCAUGCUUGAGCAUCAGCCUCAGGAUAAGCAAAUUCCAUUGGAUUUGUGAGGGCACUUGAACUAUAUAUUGGGUCAUUACAUGAAUAAGUGGAAUAACAGAAAAUAUUCAGACUCCCACAGCCUGUACUACAAGUUACAGCUGUGACAGUGUAGAGGGGGGAUCCACAAGUAAAAUGUGCUGGAAUAUCCAAGGGGGGGGGGGGGUGAUACAAAUAAAAAAA